AAAUGAAAACGUCCGGAGUUUCUUCCAGUGGCCCACAGCUUAUAUUGCUGAUUGUUUAGGGCUUUUCUUCCACCCACCCCAUACAUUCCCAUCCCAAAUAUUUUCUUCUGCAAAAAACAAAAACCGUACUGGACACGUUGGUUAUUACUUGAUUCUACAGAUUCUCAAAGACACUCGCACAAAACGUGCUUCCUAAAAGCGUCCCAAAAAAACAUCCCCAACCCACAUUUAGAGAAGGGUGGGUGUCCAUCGUCCCCUCCCUAUCUUUUUUUUUUUACUUUUUUUUUAAACUCUCCGGAGAAUCUUUUCAUCAGCUUCCCAGCCUGCCACUCACUCAUCAAGGUAAGUCACUUCCAGAUUUUGUCACCCUCUUUUCCAGGCGCGCGUGGUAAAUUUAGCGCAAUUAAGCUGUUAAAGGGGUCUAAGUGUGGGUGAGAUUGGAGGUGAGGGGGGGCAGUUUAGCUUUUGCACUUAAUCGCUGGAGUGGGGUGAUGUGUGGAGAGAGGGGGGGGACAGAUCUGCUGUUUCUUUAUUCAAAAGAUGGUGAGGGCCUAGAGAAGCAUUUGUUGUUUCAAAACAUUAUUUAAAAUACACUUAUAAUGCUCCUUAUGGAGAGAGAAUUCCUGGCUGGUGGUGGGGCACGCACCCCAUUCACUUCCCUCUGUUACCCCGUUUCCUUUUAAAAUGCUUUUUUUAAAAAAAAUAUUGUUGUCCCUUUUUCAAAAGAAAACUUGAGAUCCCAAUCUAAGAUCCUUCUGGGAAGGGCGAAUUGCAAGCAGACGUUAGCAGCCUAUGGGGCGCCUCACACAUCUGUGAGACCCAAGGAGAGCAAUUUCACUUCAGGAACAGUUUCUAUCCUGUUUUCACUCCCUGAUAAAAGAAGACGUAGGGUGGCAAGCUUUGUGUGGUGUGUGAAGGAGAAGUUAAGAAAAAAAUCCAGUCUUCGCAAUUGCAACAGAAAUGACUCCUGCCUGGGACACACAAGCACGGAUAUCUCCAGAUACAACGUGGGGGGUGGAAGGAAGAGGGAAUGGUACAUUUAUGUCCCACCCAAGUCUCUUUGCAACUAGAAGACAGAACGAACCUUAUUGAAAUGAAUUGAGAUGGUGGUGAAGGACAGCCAGUCUCAUCAAAAGGGUGUGCUGGUUUAAUGCUGCAAUCCUAAAGGCACUGACAACAAACUAGUGCGUUCCAUCGAAUUCCAGAGGUCUAUAGAUAAAUUGUUUUGGGGGUUUUAGGAUAGGGUUUAGGAUAGGAUGUGUUAUAAAGAGGUGGAUUAUCGAGGGAGCCGAUUUGAUAGGAAAGGGAUCGAGUAAAAAUCGGUGCCCCUGCUUGCCUGUCGACCGCAUCGUCUCAGAAACCAACGCAAUGUGCAAUACAAUAAAAUAGAUUUUUUAAAAAGAAAACCACACUGUAGAGAUAAACUCAAAGGAAAAACACUGACUUCUUCUUGUCUGCGAUGAGAUCGCGCUGGCUCGGAGCCCAGGAGCUUCUCCUCAGCUGCUUUGAGGAUCCCCAUGGCUAAGAGUGCGGUGCGCUUUUGCGCAUUUAUAGGGGGAAAUGUUCGCACAGCGGUGAAAGGGGAAACGAUCGUGAUUCAAAUCAGGACGUUUAUAAAAAGCUGUCAAAACAGACGUUUCCCCAGUUAUCUUAAAAGACCCACAGAAUGAACCCUGUUUGUUUGUUUGUUUGUUUGUUUGUUUGUUUGUUUGUUUUAGCCAGCGAAAGUCAAUCUGCAGAGCAAUCCUAUGCAAGUUUACCUUUGAAUAAACCCCACUGAAUACCGAGGCGGGGCCUUCAAUAAUAAGCAGGCACAGGUCUGCGCUGUUGGCACUGUACGCUUUUAGGGGCAGAGGCCUGCCGGCGUCUUUGCCUUAUAUUUCAUGUCUGAGUAUAAACGGAGGGCAUGGAAUUCACAGCAAAGCCAAACACGACAAUCAUAAUAAAUAAUUACUGUUUUAAAAACAGCAUGGAAUCCACUAUGUGAAAACAACCUACGUUGAACGUAGGGCCACGUUGAAAAUCUAUUUGGAAAGUUAGUCGUGACUAAGAAAAGCCCCACUGAUUUCUGUGGGAACUGACCUAAGUCCGGAUUCAAAUCUAUGUGUUUUCCCCUAUCAGAAAACAGCACAUAUAUUCACACACCCUUCCUUUUUGUAGCCUAGAGUUCCUUUCGCUCUUGCCCAGCAGACAAAUCUCUGUUUUUAUUCGCUUGGGCUAUAAUUAAAGUUUCCUCUUCCAUUCUUCCACCGGCUCAGCAACCGGCUGGGUUCCCUGUAAUAUCGCAUUCCUAAAUGCAGUCACUCGGUAGGGGGAUCGGGACCUUGACUCCACCCGAACAAUGAAGGCUUCUCUGCCCUUUUACCCUGAAGGCAGUCCCCCUCCCACGGCUUUUUCCGGGGUCAAUGUGCUUAAAGGGCACAAGGAACUGAGCUGAAAUAGUGCACAUGUGUGUGUGUGGUGCAUAUAUAUAGUGUGUAUAUAUAUAUAUAAUAGUGCAUAUAAAGAGAGAUCUAUAGAUAUAUAUGCUUCCUCGUAACCGCAAGACGUCAUUGUAAGAAGGAACUCCGCUUUGAGGUUGUCAGAGUGGAAAUAAUGGGGGGACAACAAAUCUAGGCAUAUUUAUUUGGCAGGGGCAACCCCCCCCAUAGAAAAUCAACGGGGCUUACUCCGAAAUUUAAAACAACAGCAAUGUUUAUGGUCCAGUGUUAGGCCGCCUGCGAUGCCAUCUUUAAUACGCUUCAUUUAAAGGAAAAACACCCGCCUCGCCCACAAAAAAACACCUCAUCCUUUUUUUCCAAACACGAGUGAGCACGAUCCGACCACAGCUGAGCAACGGGAGAGUUCAAAUGCGUUUUUACAACUCUCUCCUCAUUGAAACCAUUGUAACGUCGACGUACUCCUCUGGUGCUGGGCCCUGUGUUGUUCUGAAUGGAGAGGGAAAUCUCUAGUCUUCUGGGACAGCAACCCCACCACCACCCUCCGCCAAAAACAGACACACACCCUGUCCUUUAUUUAGAAGUGGGUCCUAUUGAUCUAAGUGGAAUAUGCUUCCAAGGAAGUAUCCUUUGAAUAAUCACUCAAAGCCCCUUAAACUCCAUCAUCCAAGUUGGAAGUUGGCACCCUUGGUUUCAGUGCAAUUUACUUCCAGGGAAGCGUGCUUAGAAUAACCAUCCCGGACUUCAACACGUCAGGAGACACGAAGCCUCUCUCCAGGUGGCUGCAGGCUGCAAAGAGAUAGCUCAAUCCGUCACCCCAGAGAAGCUGCAACACUUGACUCUAAACUCUUUUUUUGUAGUCCUUGUUUAUUUCGAUGGUACAAAAACCAGGCCGAUUCUUAACCACACCGAGUUGGAACUAAAAUGCAGUUGCUUUAAGUGGAUCUUGUAAAAUCUUAACUUGGCCGAGAAGGGCAGGAGAACUUAAGAUACCUUUUGGAUUGGAAACUCUGCGGGGCAGGCGCCCAACUCUUGUUUUUUUUAUAUCCUGUUUUUCACACAGUCUAGGCAGCAAUCCUAAGCACACUUCCUAAAAAAGCAUUCAGACAGACUUGCUUCUGAGUAGACAGCACGAUGAAAAGAGUGUGUGUGUGUGUGUGUGUGUGUGUACACCCUCUUCCAAGGUAGAAUGGAUUAACCCUGUUAGAAAAGUGUUGAGAAAAGGUGCUGGUAUUUUAUGGACUAGAUUUUCCAUGCCUUGAGAUGUGUUAUUUAUUUUAAAAUCCUAUUUGAGAACAUCAAUCUCCUGCCUCAAGAGUUGUCCCCAAAUGCGCUCUUAAAUUCAAGGGCCUUGCUUUUCCUCACAGUGAUACAGAGGAUGGUACCGGGUGUACCAUUCACCGAGGGUGUCCGGCGCUGUUUACAGAACGAAACCGGCUGAAACCCAAAUACUCCGGCUCCACUCCUAGAGGUUCGAAUCCGGAGCGGUGCGCUUUUCCUCCUGAGCCAGACCAACGGCCACCCUCCUCAUUUAUUACAGCUUGCUGUCCUAAGGGCGCUCCUUGGAGAGGAAGCCCCAUGGAAAUCAAUGGGACCUGCUUCUUAGCAAGCGGGCCUGUUUCAGACCGUCUCCUGGAGCCUAGGGAGAGAUAGGAGGGUCACGAAUGUAGGUGAAAACGCAUAGAUGUACACUUUCCUUUAUUUUUCCAGAUGUAGGGGAAGUAACCAGCUGGAGCAAUUUUAUUUUUGUAUAUUUAUCCGUCGGCGCGGGAUGUCUGCAAGAUCUGCAGUGGCGCUUUUUCAAAAGAGAUCUUCUAGCUCGCUGGAGUGGAUUUGCAAAAAGAUCGAUCCGAGGAGGGAGGAGAAAGCGGCAAAAAACACAGAGAGAAAUAUACGUUUAUCUGUUGAUAAACGUAUGGCCCAAAUGUUUGCAAGCGCUGUUCCUCGCUCCGCGAUAUUUUUUUUUUUUCCUAAAAAGAAUCGAAGAAUUAUUUCCCCACCCCGCCUCCUCCUUUUCCCCCUGCAGGUAUUUUUACUAGCUAAUUGCUUAAGUGAAGGAGUCUUUGCUAGAAAGAAGACGUUGGGAGCGGGGAGGCGGAGGGUGGGGAGUGUAAUCCGAGGCUGGAAAUGUAUCUGGCUAGUAUUGUCAAAAGCAGAUUUUGCAGGCAAAGGAAGGACGCGAGGGGGGUUGCUUCUUUGGAAAGGGGCCCGCAUGUUUAUCAAAGGUCAGACCACCCACGGGGAGGACGGAGUCAGACGCGCGUCCGCACUCGCUCCGGCCUCUCUGCCCUGGUUUUCAUUAACACCAGGGAGCUGGUCCAGAACGAAAAAGACGCCUCCUCCCCCCCCCCAACCCACCCCCUCAGUCUCCUCCUGGGUCCCUCUACUUACUCGUCCGUCCCCCCCCCCAACCCUCGCAAAGCGAUCCCAUAACCGUUUACACAAGGCCAAGGGAGGUGAAUGGCACGAUCCGGCUUGACCAGUUUGCUUCAUCUGGAGAUUACGCGAGAGACAGAUAUAAAAUCAUAUAUAUGGUAACAUGUUCCAACUUCAAGGUGUUGACAAGGAAUUGCAGUCGAGCGAGGGGAGGUGGAAGGGAGCUGGAUAGAUUUUUGGCAGAGCUCUCCAGAAACGCAGCAUCAAGCUUUCCAACGUGGGCAGAGGAGGAGGAGGGACCUUCUCACCACCUUCCUCGGUUGUUAUGAUCAUCCCCUCUCUGUGGUUUUACCCCGGCUUCAUGAAUAACUGCCUGGAAGAGUGAGAACUGUCUGCAUGUUCUAAAUCCAUCCUUGCAGGUUCUCCCUCUUGCAAUCCACUUUAGGUAAUCCGGAGUAACCACCGCUGCUUGUUGCCACACUUUUUAUUUAUUUUUAUUUCAUUUAGAUAUCACCUUUGCCUGCAAGGAGCUCAAGGCGGUGUACGUUGUUCUCCCUUCCCCUUUUUAUUCUCACAGCACCCCUGUGUGGUAGGUUAGUCUGGCCCAGAGCUUCAUGGCUGAGUGAGGAUUUCAACCAUGGUCUUCAAGGUCCUAUUCCAACACUCUUAACUUUCACACCAGUAUAUGAAUAUUAUGUAAGCCUGCUGGACCUGUGCACACGUUGAAACCAGUUUCAGACCUACUCAGCUAUCAUUCAGCUGUGAGGAACAUGGAAAGCUACUUCAUACCGAGUCAGACUAUUGGUCUGUCUGAACUCUGUACUGCCUACACUGACCAGCUGCAGCUCUGCAGGAAUUCAAACAUGGGUCUCCUUCAGCCCUGCCUGGGGAUUGAGCCUGGGACCUUCUGCAUGCAAAGCAGUUGCUCUACCACUGAGCCAAGUCCCUCCCCUCCCUCCAAGAGAGGGCAGCUGUUCCAGGAUUAUUUAGAUGCAGCUCUCACUGAUUUCAAUGGAACCUGCUUCUGGGUAAAUGUGCCUAGUUUAACGAAAUGGUCUGGGAUAGAGCCGACUACUCUGAAAGAAACUAAGGCAAAGGAUGUCCUCUUUACUGUGCAUUCAUGAUUAUUGGUGCUCGUGAUGGUAUCAGGGCUGCUAUACAUGACCCCCAGAUGCUUUGGGAUGGGCACACUGCCUCAUUUCCAUACAUCUCCCAUAACUCCCUGCUGAAUUCCUGGAACUCUUCAUACCACAAUUUUCACAGUUUGUUUUUUCUCCCCCAUGCUUAUUUUGCACUAUUGUGCGGCAGUGCCCCUCUAGAGUGCAAUAAUGCUGCAACACUGGGGACACAUUGCAGCACAACUCACAACGCAGAAUGAUGUGAGGAUCAUCUAGUUCCCCGGGGGGUCAUCUAGUUCAACCCCUGCAAUGUAGGCAUCUCAGCGUGUUGCAGAAUGCACCCACAACAGAACACCAGUCUAGAGGGUCUUCAUGUCCAACCUCCAAAACACAGCAUUUUGCUAGCAGCAGUGGGGAAAUUAUUCUAUCAAUGAUUUUAAGCCAGAUUCAGAGGCUGUGUACCUCUGAAUACCAGUUGCUGUGGAGCAGUAAGAAAAGUCUGUUACAGUGGUACCUCCGGUUAAGAACUUAAUUUGUUCUGGAGGUCUGUUUCUUAACCUGAAACCGUUCUUAACCUGAAGCACCACUUUAGCUAAUGGGGCCUCCCGCUGCCGCCACGCCACUGCUGCGCAAUUUCUUUUCUCAUCCUGAAGCAAAGUUCUUAUCCCGAGGUACUAUUUCUGGGUUAGCAGAGUCUGUAACCUGAAGCGUCUGUAACCUGAAGUGUAUGUAACCCGAGGUACCACUGUACUUGUGGGCUUUUCUGAGGAAUUUACUGUCGGAUGUGUUGGGCUUGCCCUGAAGGCUGAUGUGUCUGCUUGGGAAGGUGUAGAUAGAAGAACCUCCAAGCUUCCAAAACUGUCCUUUAACUUGCACUGAUUUUCCCUUAAGUGCUAGAGUGAUACUUAGAAGAAUUGUUGACCUCAUUUUCUACUUCCAUCUUCAUCCUCACCUUGUUGGAGGAGACAUCUUUCUAUGUCUCUCCUGCUGACACAAGCAUGUUUCAAGGCACCUCCACCUGACUUAGACAGAACCAAUAUAUUUCUUACUAAGGAUGUGUUUCCUGCAAUAAACAUAGCUUUCUUGUUUUCCUAAACUCAGAUCCUCAGUGUGUUUAUAUACAGGGUAGUGUGUGGUCCCAACCAAGGAAGGAUUUCAGUACAUACUUCAAGGUUCUGCUGAUACAACUCCAAAUGACAUCAACUAGCUUGGGGUUUCCUAAACUUGGGUCGCCAGCUGUUUUUGGACUACAACUCCUAUCAUUCCUAGCUUGCAGGACCAGUGGUCAGGGAUGAUAGGAGUUGUAGUCCAAAAACAGCUGGAGACCCAAGUUUGGGAAACCCUGAUCUAGCUGGCCUCUGCUGGAAGCAGGAUGCUGGGCCACUGGUCUCAUUCCAAAGAGCUCCACAUGAAAUGAUAGAGAGGAAAGGGACCUAGUCCAACCCUCUGCUCACUGCAGGACCUACAAUGCAGGAUAUGAUGGCACAUCAGUGUGCACUUGUAGGAGGACACUUUACCCCAGAUGUAAUCUCACUGAGAUUUAAAUAUGGAAAAAAGAAGUCUAAUUUUAUUAUUGGAAGUACAUGUCGGACAGGGAAGAUCCUACUUCCAGCAAAGUAAAAAAUCCAUACCUGCAUCUUCAUUUCUGCAAGAGAGAGAUAAAGGGGGGAAAGGUGUCCUCUCCCCAAGUGGGAUGAAGGAAGAGGAGGAGGAGGAAGUGAGGUCAGCAACCCUGAAAGUUUCAGACUAACACUUGGAGAAGGGUCAGUGCAGGUUAGGUCAGAAGGACAGUCUAGGAAGCUUAGAUGCUUCUCUCUCUAUCGACUUUCUCCCCAUGCAAACCCACCAGCCUUAAUAGAAGCUGAGUUGUAUGCAUCCCAGAACUUCAUCCAACAGAUGGCCCUGGCCCACAGUGCUUCACAGUAGGCCAUAGCUCAGUUGGCAGAGCAUCUACUGUACAUGCAGAAGGUGCCAGAUUCAAUCCCUGGUAGGACUGGCAGACCAGCCUACCUGAGACCCAGGAGAAGCCACUGCCAGUCCGUGUAGGCAAUACUGAGCCAGACUGACCAGUAACUCUGUGGGGGGAAAGUCAGCUCCCAAUAUUCGUAUUCAUGGCUCUCUCUGUUCCCACAACAGUCCCUUUAGCGAAAGUUGUUACCCUGUAAUUUUCCCAAAGCCGUCUUAUUUGUAAUGGAAUCUCCCAUAUGCAACUCAGGCCUUCCUUGAGCCUGUAUCUCUUUGUAGACCACAAUAGAGAGUGCAUUUUGUUGUGGUUUUUUCCUCUGAUGAAUGUGGAAGAAACUUCGAUAUCAGCACAGAUCAAUAUAGGCAGCAAAACUUGAUGAUGAAAAAUUGUCAUUACUUUUGCAGGGCCUUUUGUUGUUGUAAAUUCGUACUCUGCCCAUUGAUUUCAUCUAUAUCUAAUACCUGUAUUACAUGUUUUAUCCCGUUAGCCCCUGCAGAAUGAGUGAACUGUUUGUGAGAGCUUAAGCUUUGUCUGUGUAGGUUAAUAAAAAUCACAGUGUCUUGUGGCACCCUAAAGACUAAUAAAUUUAUUAUGAUAUGUCUAGUGCCUAGUAUUGUCCCUAACCCUAACAUAGGUGAGGAAGCAGGGUGGGCAGCAUGUUAACAGUGGAAUUAAGCAACUAUGAAAUGCAGUAAUUACAAUACAUUACUAUUCGAUUAUUUAAUUGCUUCUGUACAUUAUUUAAAACAACAUUUCUGAAUUACUUUUCAUCAUAUGAGAUUCCAGGGUGAUGUGCAGCGUAGAAGGACAAUUCAACAGGAUACAAAACAAGUGAAAUAAAAACAGCACACCAGAGCUUAAAUGUAGGCAAAAUAAACACAACAGCCACGAUUGAUUUAUAAGGGGCAACAUCUUAGCAUUGGCAAGGCAGGAACCCCUUGUCUCUAUUCAUGCCCAAACAGACAAAGCCAAAUGUGUGUUUCUGCAUGCACAUCACUGGAAAGGGGAAAGGAGAGCGUCUUUCUUACGAAAUCACCCAUUCCCCCCCCAAAAAAAAUCACCUCCCUUCUGCCCCUCUUACAUCCAAUUUAUUCUCCUUUCUUUCUCAUCUCUCUUUACCGCCCCCCCCCCCGGUAUUUAUAUCCCUGAUUAUGGGGUUAUCAUAACUGGAAUGCUUUGCAGAGUUGCUGGCGGCGUCCCAAAUCUCUGUUCCAUUCAAAGGCAAAAGACAAGAGACGAGGAGAGGGGGAGGGAGGAAUUGCGACAGAAGUGGAGAAUUGGAAGGGGCUGGGGAGAAGUUCCUCUGAAACACUUCUCCAAAAAGUGUCCCCCCACCCACGCAAUCUGCGUGUGUGGCCCACGCUGCUUUAUCUCGUUCCAGCUCCCGAGGCUUAGCCUGGAAUCUUGCUCUGGGGAGGGGUGAGGGUCGUCCUGCCAGCAGCCCCUUCCAGAGCGUGUAAAACGGAUCCACCGCCAACGUGGAUCUUGGAAGAUCUCUCUCAGUUGGUGGUGGAGGGAGGUGGGGGGGUCAGAUUUCUAGGAUCUCACUGGACGGGAUGAAAACACGCGACCCACCAGCCCUAUCAAAGCUGCAAUCCUUGCGGGUGGGGAGGGAACCACUCAGUUUCCUGGGAGGAAGCCCCAUUGAACUUGUUGAAGGACGCAGGAGCGUAUGAAACUGCCUUAGUUAGGCCAUCUAACUCCGUAUUGUCGACACUGACUGGCAGAGAGUCUUUCCAGAGCUUCAGGAACAAGGCAUUCCCGGCCCCGCCUGCAGAUGCUGGGAUUGAACCCGGAGCUUUCCCCGUACAAAACACGUACUGUUCCACAGACGGAGUUACCGCCCUUACUUACGAAUAGAUACGGCUAGGAUCGCUCUGUAAGCCGAUCCAAGUUCAGGGCCGCUAAGAAUAUGGAAAUAAAGUUAGCACACGCUUAUUGGGGAGUACGCCUUGAGUUCAAGGGAGCUUACUUCUGAGUAAACCUGCAUAAAAUAGGGGUUUGCCUGUCAAUCGCCUUAGCUCCUGCUCCCCUCCCCGCCUCUCCUCCCUCCCCGCCCAAAUCCUUGGACAGAGCUGGAAAUAAGACCCAACAGAUUACUUAAGUGAUGGUUCGUGUGUCAGGCGCUGUACAGACAAAAAUAAACAAGAGAGGCUGUCGCGGGUCUAACAGUCACUAAACGGCCUCCUGCAGCCAGCACAAAUCUCUCUCCGGGAAGUGACAGCCCAUGAAAAGUUUUGAGCGGGGUUUGAGCGAGAUUUUGUGUAUGCAAUGACGGAUUAAUCCGUCCGUAGUUUAGCAGCGCGUUAAAGGAUGAGAUCUUACAUUAGAUGCCACCAGUUUGAGUCUUGCUGAGGGAAGAGAUCGGUUCUUUUCCGACCAGCAUAGAAGAACACGAGUUUCACUGCGGGAAAAUCAAUCUAGGCAAACAGUGGCCGGGUCAGUGGGAAUAGAACCGCACACGCAUUGCCAAAGACUCAGCUCUUAUGGAUAUAGAUUUAUUUUAAAAGAAUGCAGUGCAGCGAAUGGACUCACCUUACCGAUUCUAUGCUUUAUAUGCGUGGCAGGCCAACUCUGAGAAGAGAGCUUCGUAGAAAAAGAAAUCUGUUUAUGUAUUGAGCCUCUGGGAAUUUCUGAAUUGUAUUUCACUUGCUGCGACGCCUCUUUGAAUGGGGCUCGUGGGCGGAAAAGCGAAGGAUAUGAAUUACUUACUGAAGCUGCAGUUCUAUAGACCUGGGAUCGAGUCUCAGUGACCUCAGCGGGGCUUUGUUCUGAGUAGACCUGCAUAGGAUUGCGCUGUUGGAGGAAGAGUGUAUAGAACGGCAGCACAAUGCUAUUCAGAAGGAAAUGUGCCUGUUUGAUUCAAACGGGCUUGCGCCCACGUAAGUGCGCAUAGGAUUGCAGCCUCACUUUUCAUUCAUUAGGCUUUCCCUCUCAGGGCGCAGACUUCCUUUCUUCAGUGUGCUCUGUUUCAGAACAAGUCAUCCGUGGAUUCCCUUCUGAUUAGGCAUGCACUGGGUCGCAUUUUGCAAUAUGCUUCUGUGUAUAUAGGAUCGCAGCAGCCUUAUUUAUUGGCUUAACAAUCAUAAAACAAAUCCUAUCAAGGCUGUAUUCUCCAUGGUGUUUGAUAAUCUAUUUAUACAUUUUACAGUUCCUAUUAUGUUUCCUUCUUCACUCUCGGUUCUUCCUAGACUUUCCCCCGCAUCUUAGAAUAAGCCCCCCCCCCAUUUUUUUUCUAUUCUGCCCUCGAACCCAUAGAAUUCCUUCACACAAACAAACACGUGUUCACCUCCUUCCACCAAUCAAUAGAGGACAAGGGGUUUCAACUGAUGCUCUGCAUUCACCCCCUCGUCCUUAUCACCACACACUCUAAAUCUAUGAUGUGAAUAUAUUUGGAGCAAUCUGUUGUGUGUCUGUGUCUGUGUGGGGUUUUGUGAAGCGUGCGGGGGGAUCCUAAACCAAUUUACUUUAUUUUAUAUGUGCGUGGGGUAUCAGCGAACACCUUUAAGAUUGGAGGGAUAUUCAUUAGUGUGAAACACACGUAUUUUGUAUGAAAUGGGUUGUGGAUUGGGCUGGUAGUUUAGCUUAAGCAUAAAUAAAUGAAGAGACAUUAAGACACAAAGGAUUAUCUUUAUCUAGCUAUCUAUGUAUCUAUCAUCUGUCAAAUUAACUAUCGUCUAUCAUCUAUCUAUUCUGCACACCCCGAAAAAAGCAGCCCGUGUGCGUGAGUACACGUGAAUGAUUCAUUACAUCCGUGUGUAUGUGGAUUUAACUCUGAAAUCCUCCAAAGUAAGCCUACGUACAUAGAAAAGAUAUUUGCGUGAGGUCAACGGGCGCGUGCCUUGAGAUUUCAGCUUAACGCAGCGGUGGGCAGUAGGUCUUCUCGCUAGAGCCCUGUAAGAGGGGGAUAGGAAGGGAAAUCAGAAAUCUGCUCCGCUUUACCUCAUGCGAAAGGGACAGAAACACGUCUCAGAAGUGCGGCCUGCAACUUAGAAGCAAACCUUUACGUCCCAACCCUCCUUUGAUUGUCUAAGAGGAAACCGUCGACUUCUUUCUUGUGUGUUGGAAAUGAUUUCAACAAGGGUUUAUAUUUUUUAUUUUACCUUCCGCGGUGUGCGCGUCUGAAGGCUUGGUCUAGGCGAGUUUAAAGAAGGAUACGCCGGCUAAAUGGACAUCCAUUCAGGCAAAAUAAGGACCGGCAUUUAUUUAUUUAUUUAUUUUAAAGUAAAGUUUGCAAAUAAACGGCACCUUCUCGUUCCAGAGUUAUUUUGGAGGGAUCGGAUGGUUUGUUUUCUGCCUAGUGUCAGGUCAUAUCGGCCUCUUCUAAUGAGAGAGUUGAAAUGUAUUUGCCUCAAGAGGUCGAUUUUCAGCUGGUGUUGAAGAGAACAAAGGGAACCAUUUCGUGUUCUGUCUGACAGCUAAAUAAACUCCACCCUCCUCUCUCUCACACCCCAGUCCUUUUCACUUUAUAAAGCGUACUCCACCUUCGUUGCUUGGUUUCUGAACCGGGGCGGGAAAUCUGAUUGCACGCCAUGAAUCUGACAAAGUGGUCUGAUUGCCACUGCUUACAACAAACACCUCGAUCCUCGUCUUGCGCGUUUCUUCUCUGCAUCUGUAGAUUGUAAGGGCAUCCGGGUUUCCCCGCCCCCGCAUCUCUGUUUGAUGGGGAAAAAAUAUCACUAAUAUACUUCAAACGCUGGUACGAUUAUUUAAAUAAUAUAGACCUUCAGGAGAAAUACGUAAGGUUAAGGUUUCUAGGGCAUACUUUGUCCAGCAGCGGUUCCUUUUUGUCGUUCCUGAAAAUGGUAGGAUUUAAGUGUAGAUUGACGGGGGGUUAUGUAAUUCUCCUUUUCCAUCAGCACCGUUAGGUAUCCAGAGAAUAAAUUAAGCAAUGGCAGCAUGGUAAACUGUGUGCGUGCGUGCGUGCGUAAAAAAAAAUGCGAAAUAUACAAACUAUAUUGAGGAUAGUAGAAGAAAAUGCUUGGAAGAAGCUUGCAAAAGAUCCCUGUAGAAUAUGGCUUGUUUGUAGACGCCCUGCUGUUUCACCAAGUCAAUUGUGCCAAAUCUGUGAAGGCACCUGCUCUAGAAAACAACCUGCGCCGUUUUGGUGAAGAAUACAGCACUUUAACAUUAGAGUUUUAUUUUUAUUUAUGCUUUGAAAACUACAACAAAAGGGGGGGGGCGUUGGAUGAAUAAAAUAGAGGGGCGGGAAAUAUUUCUAUGUACAUAUUUUUAUGUACUUUCUGUUUAAACCAUAUUUUGGAUCUCUGUUUUGGAUCUUUGGAGCUUUGAAACCUACGGGUGUAACCUUCUGCAGUAUUUUAAAAGUCCCUCGCAAUCUUUGAGAAUUAUUCCCAGAGAAAUUCACCCAAAUCCAGGUGUUAAAUGCAUUUAAGGGGGUGGGGUGAGUUAGACGGUGCAUACCCAAAUAUGGAGAUUUAUUUCCUUGAAGGAACGAAGUAACACCCUGUAAUGUAUAAAACGACCUGUGUUCGGGUAUAAUGAUGUUCAGAUCUUGCUCCUCCUUAGCUGACACCUAACGGUCUAUCGAAACAUUCUAAAGAAGUCUAAACAUUCUAUAAAUAUCUCCCGUGAUAUUGGUGGGCUGGCUACUAAAAGGAAAAAAGAAUCGAUUUCCAGAUUUUUAAGUAGCAAUACCACUUUUCAAUGCUCAAAGUAAUAAUAAAUUAAUCCUUACAAAGUAUCAGUUAAUUCGCCAAGUCACAUAUUAAAUUGGAUUUCAUCGGGGCAACUCUUGUGGGUCAGUGUCCGCCGCUGAUAACACAUUUUUUACUCGGUCAUUAAAAAAAAAUCUAUUUAAUCUAUUUAAUCGGGUUCGUAUUUUUCGUUAAAAGCUCCUCAAAAACGUCCUGAGUGCUGGGGCACUCUUAAUUGUUAAUAGGUUGCUCGUAUUAGAGAGCAGCCAUUAAACUGAGAUUCUUCUCUCAACAAAAGUUAAGUGGAAACAAAUUGGUAACAAAUCAGCUGGACUUAACCUUCCACGUAAAUAUCUCUCGGGCUGAGAGGUCGAAUCCCUUUCUUGCUGGUUCUUGGGGGGUGGGGGCAGGAGGGUACGGAAAUUGUUUAGAUUUCAAACACGACUCCGUUAAGUCUAUUUAUUUCAAUGGGCCUACUCUGAGCAAAUCUUACUGGACUGCCGCCCACCCUUCUCGGGAAUGAAAGCGAGAGGGCUCGAUGGCUUAGCCAACUCUGAGACAAGCAAGUGCAAAUUCACGAAUCCAAAAAUAAUAAUUAUUCGGAGUCCAUUAAGACUCGAGAUUCCGCCCCCCACUUCCUCGUCCUCCUUUCCUCCCCCGUUUUUCUUGCCACACGCAACUACAGAAAGGGCAAAUCUGAAAAUAUUCGAGCCAUGGAAGGUAUUAAUAAAACGUGUCACUUCGCUCUCCAAGUCUGUGUGUGGUGGUGGAGAUUGGGGUGCGUGCGUGCGUGUGUUUAAGAAAACAAAGCUCUUUGCUUAUCUUGAGAGAAAGAAAGAAGAACUUUGCACACUCAGCUUUCUUUUAAAAAACGGUAUAAUACUGUGUUGCACAGGGAGAUAUGUGAACCUUCCUGAUGUGAACCAAAACAUCAGACAAACUCUUACGGAACGUAGUAGUCCGGCAAAGAAGCGUUGAUAUAUUCAUGAUGUUGCAGGUUGUGUUCAUAACGGAACCGGUUGUGAACCUGCAACACAAAGGAUUAAUUCCAGGAUUGAGGGAAGUACCAUGGGCCAAGCCAGAGAGUUUGUAAUUCCUGAGCUCACCUUGACCAAUUCAACUCCACAUCCGUAUAUUGGGUAGAAGAGGGCUACCUGGCCGGCUCGUAAUGCGUGCAGGAGACAUCCUGAAGUUCUUUUCGUACUCUCAAGGCAUAUUGAAAUGGGAACUGAUCAUUAGUGUUAAAUGAAUCUGAGUCUUCAAACCAGCAGAGGCUAAGCUCUUCCCCUAGUUUUGUGUAUUCAGAAAGUUUGCGCAUCCAGGCUGCAAUACAACAUUUGCUUGGGAAAAAGUCCCACUGAGUAUAGCAGGGCUUACUUCCAAGACCAAGGAAAGGGUCAGUGGCAAAGCAUCUGCUUUGCAUGCAGAAAGUCCCAGAUUCAAUCCCUGGCAUCUCCAUAUAGGGAUGGAAGAGACCCUUGUCUGAAACCCUGAAGAGUCGCUGCCAGUCAGUGUAGACAAUACUGAGCUAGAUGGACCAAUGGUCUGGCUCAUUUUAAGGCAGCUUCCAAGUUCCUAAGCAUGUGCAGUAUUGCCCUGUGCUUUUCAGCUUCCUCUGGAUCUUGGCAGGAUGCAGUUACAGCAACAUGUUUAUUGCAGAGACUAACAAACUAGAGAUUUUUAAUUCUUAUCUCAAAGCGUUUCUCCAGUUGCUCUGAUCAAAAUGAUGCUGUUUCCAAGGUGGCAGUUAAAGAGCUUUGAGGCUGCAGCUCAUCGAUGCUGGUACUGCCCUCCAGGUUAAUGUGCCCAGAGUGUACAACCAGAAGCUCUCCCUUUUUGCUAACUUUGUUGGACCUUUUGGCACAUCUACAGCAAUUACUGUUCCGUAAUUAGUUACUUUUUUAUACACACACAAACGCUGCACGCACACAUUUACCUUUGAUACUAGCUGAUAAUAGAUAGAUAGAUAGAUAGAUAGAUAGAUAGAUAGAUGAUAGAUGAUAGAUAGAUAGAUAGAUAGAUGAUAGAUAGAUAGAUGGAUAGAUGAUAGAUAGAUGGAUAGAUGAUAGAUAGAUAGAUAGAUAGAUGAUAGAUAGAUAUAGAUGAUAGAUAGAUAGAUGAUAGAUAGGUAGAUAGAUAUCUGCUUCCUCUUUCUAUUAUGAUAUUAGUAACCAGGGAAAUACGUUUGUCCUAGGUGAGUAUGAUUGUUUACAAAUCUUGUCUCUUUCUCUUCAACUUUGGUAUCUUCUGUUCUUUAGCGAGUCUUCCCCUCAUAAAUAAUGCGGCCAGCUACAUUCCUUUCUUCCUUGAACAAGUAACCAACAAAGGCAUUUUUGUUCUAUAAAAACCUCGACGUGAAAAAACCUGGACCAUUAACCUGAUGUCCUCCCCAAUUCAAAUCAUUCCACAGGUCUGGGUAUAAACCUGUUCCCAGGUUUGGGGAAAGCAAAAGGCCCCCAAUUUAUUUCGCCUUGAAGUUAUUUAAAACAUGACAGCCAGGAGCCAAAGCGAAGCCCCUUUGCAUCCCAUUGUUUUCAAUGGGGACUUGAACACCUGCGCCGCUCACUUCCUAUUGAAGCCAAUGGGGCUUAAAGCUGCGGUCCUAUAUUCACCUCUUAGGGAGAUUCAAGUCCCUUUUAACGCACUGAUAUUUACUUCUGAGGAGACAUGGUUAGGAUCGCGCUGUAAAACAUGCGGAACGUGGUCUAGACCGUGCCCUGCGAGUGUGGGGUGUGUGUGCGCGUGCUUGCGUGUGUGUGUGAAGUAACGGGACGAAGAAAACCACACCGUUUAGGAGCAAAAUAUUGACAGAUCUCUCAUUUUAGAAACUGCAAUUAUAUUAAUGACUGGAGAGUUUCGUUCUUUUCAAGGGGAAAGGGAAGUUACUCUUUCGGUUUUCAGUCAAAUGACAGGAUUCUUCCAUGUUUACCUUUAUCCUGAAGUGGGGCGAGGUGGGGGCGAGGUAGAGAGACAAGCAAACCAUAUUAAUAACCCGUGAUAUGAAACUGUUUCCCAUAAUCUCCCUCUUUCUCCCUGAAUAUUUUCUCGUUCUUUUUUUUCUUCCAAAAAGCUGAAUUUAUAAUUUUAUAGUUUUGGGUUGUUGUUGUUGUUGUUGUUGUUAGCAACCUCAAAGGCAGGUUCUACCAACCUUCUAGUUUCUCUGAGGAGGGCUUAAUUUAUGCCAAACCUCUCCAAAGUUGAUAUCCAGAACGCUCGGGGCAAUUCUUCCAGAAACAUGGGGUGAAAUAAUAGCAAUCAAGAAAGGGGUCUCUGGCAUGAUAAAAGUCUGUAGUUUUAUCAGGACAAGUUACUUGUUGUUAACUGUUGUAACAAUUGCUUUCUCAAAAUUUAUCUUCUGUACCAUGAAAAAUAGAUAAGCUGGCUUUUUUUAAGAAAGGGAUCUCUGAGUCUUGUGCAGAGUGUCUUCAUAGAAAAACAGGAAGUUGCCUUUAUCUAACUCAGUAGUGUCUACACACUGGCUGGCAGGGGCUCUCUAGAGUCUUUUCCAGCGCUACCUGGAGAUGCCAAGGAUUGAACCCAGGGACCUUCUGCAUGCAAAGCAGAUGCGCCGCAACUGAACUUCGGCUUCUUCGCCUCACCAGGUUGACUUUAUCCUGUCUCUAAGAUGAAGGAGACGGACUUCUCAGAACAAGUGGACACCUCUCUUAGAAAUGAGUAGGGUUGCAACUGAACUAAAGGCAUUUUUGACAGUGAAUCAUAUACCUUUUAGUCGAUUAAUCGAUAAAGUGAAUGGCUAAGGCAAUGUUUCCUAAGCAUCCUUCUCUUUUUAGGUGAUGCACAUAUCUGGCGUAUCUGGCAUAUUCUCAAAAGAGGCAUUGCCUCUUAUGAGAGGAAGGUGGGGAUGUCUCCAUUUAGAUAGGGCUUGCCACCAUUAGUUCAGUAUUUUUAUUUUUAUUUAAACCAAUAUUUUUCUUUAAACGAACAAAAAAGUAAUGCUCCAGUAAUUGAGAACACGUUUUUAGUGGAUUCUGCUUGGGACAACAUUAGAGAACAUACUAUCUACUGCUGAAAUGUUUACUCGAUUAAACUAGCUGAUUAAUCGAUUAAACAUUGCAGCUAUGGACGUUAAGGACUCAUGUUAUUUGCUGUUGUCUUAAGAAGAAAGGGAAAUUGGGAAAUACACGUGGGGGAGACAAGGAGAGAGACCGAGAGAGAACCUAGGUACAGGUAUAUUAUCCAGUUCUGAGAAUCCUGAAUGAAACAGACAAGAAACGUUUUCCAGCUGAAGCUUAUUUUUCUUGCAUUCUGGAUAUUCUUAUGCAAAGGGAAAUAUACCUCUACAUGUUAGAGGUGAAAUAUUAUCUGACAGAUGGGGGUGCUGAGCCUUCUGAAAACUAAUAUCUCCGGUCUGCAGAGUCCCUCGCUGGCGAGGAGGAAUUUAAACAGCUCCCACCCACAACCUAGUUAAGCCCAAACAUGUAAAUUCACACAACCCUAUUGCACUGACGCGUCGUUAAAUCUAUGAGACUUCACAUUCGGGUGCUACACGCAUUCUGCUGACAACACGCAGCAGUGGUUUCAUUUACUUCAGAACCAUCUUUUGCCACAAAAUCAGGGCUUUCCCUUGAAUUCGUAGUCACUCCACUAUCACCCUUGGUUCUACAGUCACAAUCAUCACAAAGGCGGCUUAGAGCUCGCGCUUUCUCCGUAAACACCAAGGGAAGCUAAGAGGCAGACAGGCUGUCAAAAGACAACUUCCAAAGGCGGCAGAUCCUGGUUAAACUACUUGCGUGUUCGCUUGGUUUAAGCUCAGCGGGACUGUUCUGGAGAAAAGGGAGUAAGGCAAACUGUGAGGACUCUCUGGUUAGGGGCACUUGCACGUUCCGGACAGAGCCUAGCACACGCUGGAACCAAAAUAAAUAUGGAUGAGGAGGAGGGCGGCGGCAGUAUGUUGCGUUUAGGAUUAAGUAGCGCGGGCAAAGAGGCGCGCUGGAGACGACAGACUUGGUGAAAAGCCCAUUAAGAUCUGCACCGAUUAAGCGGUGAACGCUUGCAGAUCCAUUUCUGAAUUUCCCCCCAGAAACAGAAUCCGAAAUGACAGGAAGGGCAAAACUAGCUUUUAAGAAAAGGGGGGAAAUCCACUUCUGUUUCCCAUUUCUCCCACCCCACUUCAGUUCCUCCCUCUUCCCUCCUAAAGCAAACGAGAAGAGCUUUGUCAGUGCGUAAAGGAGCCAUUCCAAAACCAAUUAGAACCCCUUCGUCUCGUUUGUAUGUAUUGUUAAGGCAUCUGGGGAGAGCGCGCGUCAGAUCUGCCGCCCAACCAUUGAGAACGCUGAAAAGGAGACUCGGACGAGGUUGGAAAACAAAUACACGCGGCCAGUUAUGAAGCCCAAGCCGGAGAGCCUGGCGGCGGCGGCAGAAAUAAUAGGAGUUGGGGCGGGUGGGGGAAGUGUCGGAAGGCGGAUUUCAGACAGCGGAACCGCGGGAUUCCUGUCCUGAAACCCAUCCCAGGGAAUAAUAGGCAAAAUGCUAAUUUCAUUGAUGCUUCCGCUGUGAAGAACGCCAGCAGUUACGCAUGGAGCCUCUGCUGGCUUAUUUACUUACGCGCAGCGCAGUUCUGUAUAGAGCUACUCUGGAGUAAGCCCCCAUGGAUUACUUGAUUCCCAAGUAAGUAUGUGUAAGGGUCUUGCCUACUUUCUAUCUCAAGAAAAUAAUGAUAAUAUCCUGGCUUUCGUUACAAUAUCCGGAAGGUUUAAAUGUAUAAUCCACAAGUGUAUAAUCCCCUUUCGGGAAACGAGUUGAGAACAGAGGAAACGGCCUUCUUUCGAGCUGAAUGACGGAUCCUCCGUCUAGCACAGAACACUGACUGGCAGCAGAGAUUCAAAAGGGUGGGAGGGUUGAAUUUCUGAAUAGAAAGCGUGUAUUUUACCUCUGAGCUGUUUCUCCCACAGCUCUGUGGUAGGAAAACGAGACACAAUGGAUAGAGAGCGCCCAGUUUCAUCGUCUGCAGAAUUAGGGAACAGCCACAAACACCGUUGCGCUUCUCAGGGGUCGCACAACAACGCACAGAUCUCUCCUCCGUGGAGUUGCUUUCUUUCUGGUUGGUUUGCUGUUGUUUGCGGAGUUCAGCAUAGCCUCAAAGCCUGCGCUUAUUUCCAUCAUCAUAGACAGAAGACCCACACAACACAUUUAAUGCACCUCCAAAGCUCAUUUAAAACACAUUGUCCCCCCCCCGGGCAAAUCAUGGGAACUAUAGUCUGAUAAGGAUGAUCAUUGGGACUAUAGCUCUGGGAGGGGGAAAACUAUAGUUUCCAGGAUUAUUUUGGGGAAGUAAUGCGCUUUAAAUGUUCGUUGGGGUUUAUGAUAAGGAUAUUCCAAAGAAAUAAAUUUAAGCUUACGCGUUUACGGCUCUGUAAGAGAGUAUACUCAAGAUUACUUAGUGCACGUUAGUUACUAAAAAAGAAGAUUAUUCCCGUGCUCAUAGUGGUUAAAGUACAUAUUUCCCUGUCUUUUAUUCAGUGGGCUCCUAUGGGUGAAGCGUGGUGUAGUGGUUAGAGUGUCGGACUAGGACCUGGGAGACCAGGGUUCAAAUCCCCACUCAGGCAUGAAGUUACUGGGUGAUUUUGGGCCAUUCAUUCACUUUCAGUCUAACCUACCUCACAGCAUAGGAACCAACUCCUAGGGGCCAUGGGGUAAGGGGUCCUCCACAAAGCUGAUGGGCAUUCCCAUUCAAAUAUUGUGUGUCAUGUGAUCGAUUAUGUGGGGCGGGGCUUACCUGGGCCCCCCACAAUUUUUUAUUCAAGUUGGCACCCCUGCCUCACAGGGUUGUUGGGAGGAUAAAAUGAAGAGGCGGAGGAGGAGAACUAGCUUCUCUCUCUCUCUCUCUCUCUCUCUCUCUCUCUCUCUUUCUUUAAGCACUGGCUCAUGCUAGGAAACGAGGGAGUAGCAAUUAUUCCACAGCGAUGACCUCGCGGAAUGUAGAGACUUCAUUCACAGAUGCUCCAGAAUCGCCCUGGUUGAAGCCUGCGUGGCUUCUCCAGAGCAAGUGGAUUCAAAACCGUCCAGCUUCACAUUUAACACUCUUUGACUAAACCGCCCAGCAAAGCCCAAGGGGGGAGAGAGAGGUCGCCUAUUCAAGAGCUGUCAGCAAGAGAUUAAAAGCCCCAGGAUGGCGUUGAACCCGAGGCUUGAGUCAAGUGGUGGAAGGAGGGGCGUGCGGGGAGGGGGAGACUCUCAGCAAUUCGGGCGGGGGUGGGAGGAGACUUAAGAGAAGGGGAGACAGGCGUGUUUCAGAAAGGGGAUCUUUACAUCGGCCUGUCAGUAUCCCCAGAGCGUAACCCAAAAGCGCAGAUCCACAUCGCACACAUCGCACAUUUAAAGCGCAUCCAAUGCACCUCGAAACAACAUUACUUCGCCCCAGGGAAUUAUGGGAAGCAUAGUUUGUUAAGGGGGCUGGAAAUUGUAGCUCUGUGAGGGGGUAACUAAAGUUCAGGUGCUUUAAAGGUGCGCUGGAUGUGCUUUAAAGGUACGGUGUGGAGACCUUCCUGUUCAGACAGGUCUUUGAAAACAAAGGUGCAGACGAUGCUUGAUCCGUGGGCUGCUGUCAGGGCAAACAGCUUUUAAACUUCCGGCUCUAAAUGUGUCCUGGUGUAUUUUAAUUAUUGUUUUUAAUUAUUUUGCUUUGAUUAGUUUGUUUUGUACAGUAUACUGUUGCUUUUGAAUGUUGUAAGCCGCCGUGAAUCCCAGCUUGGGAGAAAGGCAAGGUAUAAUACAUAAAAAUAAAUAAAUAAGGUUUCUUGAUACACACUCCAUGGUCACAGCGACACACAUUACAUAUAUCCUGUAUAUGCAGAUUCAUAUGUGUCUAUACCAUCAUAGCUCCACCCACUCACAAUAAAAUGACACAGAAAGAGAGUUAUGUAUACAUACUGUAUUAAAUACACAUAAUCUAGUUGUGGAACUGUUCUCAUGCACACACACAUACCAGGAGGACAGACAAAAGACAAUGCUUCUGUACACAGUGCACAGUUAGUUUAUGGAACUCCCUGCCUCAAGAUGUGACGAUGUCCCAUUUUCCCGUCGUCUUGAAAGCGGGAUUAGACAGUGCAAUGCCGAGGUAGGUGGGCCUCUGAGCUGAAUCCAGUGAUUAAUAGAUGACCAGAGGCCUUCUUGCCCUCUCUCCUAAAACAUAAAGCUGGAAGGGUGGUGAUGGCUGCCCAGUGGGACGCUUCUCUGCUCAUGCUCAGAGGACGUCUCGUCUCCAUCAUGUGAGCAAAACCCGGACAUUAAAAGAGAUUCCGGGGAGAAGCUCUUUGGGCCAAAUGUAGUCUUGCUCAGAUCCAUUGACUGAGGACUCUCACCUGUCCUCCCCGCCCCCACUCCAUCCUAAAUAUAUGCACUAAAUAUUUCACACUUUACAUGUGAAUUCUUGGGGAGCCCAGAUUUUUUAGGGAAAGGGGAAAACUCUGCCAAAAGCCACUACGAGACCUAGAAUUGUAGUGCAAACGUUGAGUGGCGAUCCAUAGUUAGGUUCCCUUCCUCUUUAUAAUCCCAACCCUCCUUCCUUCCCAGUUUGCCAAUUUAUAUGCUGUUCGAUUCCCAACUUCCUCUAUCCAUCCAUCGCUCCCUCCAUCUAUCUCUGUACUCCGCGCAAUCACGAAGCCAAGCGGCGAAAUGGUCUCUUUCUCUCUCUCUUCACUUGACUAGCUUGGUAGGUGGCCCUGUAUAUUUGGGUUAAUGUCGUGUUUAUGUUAAUGAAAAAGGGGGGGAUAAGAUUACAAACAGACCACGGCAUGCCCUGAUUUCUGUCGCUGCUGGGUUCGUCUAAACUGUAUAUUUCCAGACUAAUCAGUUUCGGAGAGCGAAAAUGACUGUUGCCUCGAAGACCUCUCUCGCCGCCGCCCCGCACCCCCCCCCCACCAAAACCGACAUUUUCAAUUAAAAAAACAACCAAGGGAAUAUUGAUUGUGUUUCCUCUGGAGAUAGUGUAUAUCUAAUCUGUUGCUAUAAAGAGGAAGAGACGCACAGGGAUUUUUGGACUGUUUGAUUUGUUGCUUUUUUCCUUUUUCAGAAGAGAGUGAAGGCAGAAGCGGCUUGAGGAUCGCAGAAAGGAUGUCUGGAUGAGACCAUUGAGCUGAAUCACACACCGUUUUGCCCUUUACACUACAAUCCGAUAUACACUUUUGUAGGAGUAGGUCCGGAUUGUGCUAUUAAAGACACACCCAUGUCACUUGAGAAAUUAAGCACUUGUCUGUCUCCCAUGAAAAAAAGUGAGACCUCGAUGUGUUUAACUUCGUCUAUAGUUGGAAAUGGCUCCUGAUAGUUCUGUUAGACAUUAUUAUUAUUAUGUCCAUUAAACCCAAUGGGUCUACUCUGAGUAGGACCAGCAUCUGCUAUCACUUAUUAUGAUAAUUACUAUUAUUAUUACUAUUUCAUCUCCAAGACUCCUCUCUAUUCAAAUUUUAUAUUGAUCACGUUUCCUGCCCGCCCCCAUCCUUUCCACGCUGGACCUUCAAAUAAGUCGAAGCUGUCGAUCAUUUCAAGGCUUUCUUUUGUCACUUAAAGAAAGUAGUGGCAACGUUUCUCUGAGGGGCGGGCGGGCUGUGGAGGACAUUUAUUGAAACUUCAGGAUCCGGGGAAAGUCUUGGGGCACAAGCAACGAGGGUUUCCCCUGCCUCCCCCCACGCUAAGAUGUGACUGGUUUUGGUGUGAUCACUGGCGAGAACGGAAACAUCUGAAACAAUCCCGCGCCCGUAUAGGGUACCGCUUCCAAAUACAGUUGUAUCCGUUUUCCCUAAGCCUCCUUAGAUGUGCAUCUUUAGGUACCAAAAAUAGCACUGCGUUCUGUAUUGCACAGCUUGGAUUCUUGAACGAGUGAAAGGUGUACCAGUGUCUUUUGAGUGAUUAAGGGGGGAAAUGGGCAGGACCUCCCCCCGCACAUUGUAAAUCCCCAUUUACAAAGCCAAGACAACCACAAACGUUAUUAAGGCAAUUAAAAGAUUUAUGGCUGUGAAUAAGAAAACAUAUGUAAAAUCCAAUGCUUUGGGUUGUAUCCAACUAAAUUCUGCGCAGAGUAGACCCAUAGAAAAUAAUGGGCAAGCCUAACUUAGGUCCACUCAUUUCAAUGGCUCUGCUCUGAAUAGAAAUUUGUUGAAUACAACAGAGCGUUCUAAGGCAACAUAGAAAUAUAAUAUUGGUUGAUUCGUUUUGAGUGGGUUUUUAUACACUUUAAAAAAGUAUUUCAAAGAGAAAGUCCCUUUUAGGACAGAGAGGGGAGG
rnacentral:lncRNA from 1 species